rnacentral:tRNA from 1 species
UCGGCGGAACGCCGUUGGCGCGGUGCGGCGGACUCAUCAUCCGUCGGCCGUGGGUUCGAGUCCCACCCGCCGUC